CUGCACUCCCAGUGACGUUGAUCCACUCUGGAGUGCUGGUGAUUGCUGACAGCCGAGAAUAACAUUUCAUUAGGGUUUAAUACCUGCCUCUGAGCAUACAGAUGUUGACUGAGGGUAAUGGCUGCCCAACCUUUGACCUCCUCUUAAUAAACAGCAACUGAGAAAACAAUAAACUCGGCCAACCGGAACAGCAAUACCUGUGAUUGAUGGCACUGGCACAUCCGGCUAAACAUGCAACAAAUGACAAACCGCUGCGGGCAUCAGCAGGUCAGACUGUGCCUGUGGAGGAAACAGAACAGUUGAUAUUUUGGGUCAAGACCACCUAUUUGAACUGAAAGAGAAGAGGGGAGAUAACCAUACUACAGAUUGCCAAUUGACCUAGGAUGUAGAUCAUGAAGAUAGCAGCUGAGCUCAAGGCUAAGAGGAAAAAUCAGAGACACAAGAGACUGUAGAUAUUGGAAUCUGGAGCAACAAACAAUCUACUGGAGGAACUCCAGGGCUCAAGCAGCAUCAAUGGGGGGAGAGCAAUUUACCAAUGUAUGAACUUUGACUGCCUAAUGGGAAGAGAAUUUGAAGACUGAAACAUGAAAUCUGUUGUGGUAAUUAAUGGGUUAGUCCUAUACCACUCAAUUAGCCACUCCCAUAUGGGUGGAGUUCACAUAUUGCACAAGCAGUCCUAUCAAUAAAGUUCAGUUGGAUGUCCUGCACAGCUGGCCUCU